GCCAGCAUGGCAUAGUGGUUUGAGUGCUGGACUAUGACUCUGGAGACCAGAGAUUGAUUCCCAGCUUGGCC